GCGUAGGUGGUGGUUUAAGUCUGUUGUGAAAGCCCUGGGCUCAACCUGGGAAUUGCAGUGGAUACUGGGCGACUAGAGUGUGGUAGAGGGUAGUGGAAUUCCCGGUGUAGCAGUGAAAUGCGUAGAGAUCGGGAGGAACAUCCAUGGCGAAGGCAGCUACCUGGACCAACACUGACACUGAGGCACGAAAGCGUGGGGAGCAAACAGGAUUAGAUACCCUGGUAGUCCACGCCCUAAACGAUGCGAACUGGAA
rnacentral:rRNA from 2 species